AAUAUUUAUAUUUUAGAAUCCAAUAUCAUAAAUUUAAUUAAAUAAUAAUUUCUUAGGGAAUGCGAAAAAACGAUUUUAUCCAAAGGAAAGAUUUUUAAUGAAGGAUAAAAAAUUCAAACGUGAUUUAUAAGGUCUUUUACACUUUUAAUAUAUAUAUAUAUAGAUAUAUUAUCGGUUUGAUUCGGGUUCGAUUUGACUUUUCUUAAUUAACACCAACCCAAAUCAAGAAUGAUCGAUUUUUUUUCCUAACACCAAACUAAUCAAACCAAAUCAUAAGUCAGUUUUUUUUCUCGAUUAUAUUUAGUUCAUCAAUUCAAUUUGACUUGACAAUUUAAUCUGUACACCUCUACACACAACUGUACGUACAUAUACACCACACACUACCCGUACCCUCUCCUUUUUGGUCUCUCUCCUAAAACAACAAUAACAACUAGUACAACACCAAUGGCGAUUCCACACCCAAACGCAACAAAUUUAUCAUUAACGACGCAAGUUUCCCAAAGGAAUCCAUCAAGUUCCCUUCGAAUUUGAUCGAGAGAAUCCAGCUCAUCAACUCAAUGCAAAGCCUAGCCAAUAUUUUGAGACCAACUCAUACCAUAGAGGUACAACGUCAUGUUAUUUCUAUUGUGGAUGAAAGAAUUCUUUCUCACCUCCCACCCGCCUCUUUCAGAAUCCCCAAAAGAAUUUAGCCAUCUUUUUCAUCCAAAUUCAUUGAAUCCAAGCUGAAAAAUUCAAUUAUCCCAACUUUGAAAUUCAAAAAUCUCCAAUCAAAAUUCUCAAAUGCCACUCUGCUUCCCCCUAAAAGGAUUCUCAAUUUUUUCCUAUAAAUAGGUAGCGUGGGAUGGGGUUUUGAGGCGAGGAUUUUUUGGGAAAAAAUUUGGGAAUUCCGAAGGAGCAUUCCUCUGAUCCCAUAUAACCAAAAUAUUCAUAAAUAAAAAUAAUCAAUUUUAGUGAAACAUUUGAAUAAUUAUGAUAAAAAGUUUAUCAGAAUUCACAGAAGCUGUUCUUUAGUUCGUCGACCUAGCUUGCUACUCCAAAGCAGGUUCACUUGAAAAAAGAGGAGGUUGCUGUAAAUGACCAUCACUCUCUCAAGUACGGAAGCCAGAAGGAGCAACUAUGUUAAACCCAUCAGAACAGUUCCAAGGUUGUAGAUUGCCCUACGGAAAUCAAAUUGCAGUUGGAUUGCUGCACUAAACUGCAAGUUCAUAAAAAUUGAUAAAUGACGUGUGAGCAUAAACAAAAGUUAGAUAAACAAUGUUUUUCAGGAUUCUACCGAA